rnacentral:lncRNA from 1 species
CUAGUAGAAUGCCGCGGGUGGUGACACGUCAGCGCCGCGGCUACUAGGAUAGUGGACACAGCGCGCCUGGCUACUGCACUAGUAGAAUGCUGCGGGUGGUGACACUUCAGCGCCACGGCUACUAGGAUAGUGGACACAGCGCGCCUGGCUACUGCACUAGUAGAAUGCCGCGGGUGGUGACACUUCAGCGCCGCGGCUACUAGGAUAGUGGAUACAGCGCGCCUGGCUACUGCACUAGUAGAAUGUUGCGGGUGGUGACACGUCAGCGCCGCGGCUACUAGGAUAGUAGACACAGCACGCCUUACUACUGCACUAGUAGAAUGCCGCGGGUGGUGACACCUCAGCUCCACGGCUACUAGGAUAGUGGACACAGCGCGCCUGGCUACUGCACUAGUAGAAUGCUGCGGUUGGUGACCCGUAAGCGCCGCGGCUACUAGGAUAGUGGACACAGCGCGCCUGGCUACUGCACUAGUAGAAUGUUGCGGGUGGUGACACGUCAGCGCCGCGGCUACUAGGAUAGUGGACACAGCGCGCCUGGCUACUGCACUAGUAGAAUGCCGCGGGUGGUGACCCUCAGCGCCGCGGCUACUAGGAUAGUGGACACAGCGCGCCUGGCUACUGCACUAGUAGAAUGCUGCGGGUGGUGACACCUCAGCGCCGCGGCUACUAGGAUAGUGGACACAGCGCGCCUGGCUACUGCACUAGUAGAAUGCCGCGGGUGGUGACACCUCAGCGCCGCGGCUACUAGGAUAGUGGACACAGCGCGCCUGGCUACUGCACUAGUAGAAUGUUGCGGGUGGUGACACGUCAGCGCCGCGGCUACUAGGAUAGUAGACACAGCACGCCUUACUACUGCACUAGUAGAAUGCCGCGGGUGGUGACACCUCAGCUCCACGGCUACUAGGAUAGUGGACACAGCGCGCCUGGCUACUGCACUAGUAGAAUGCUGCGGUUGGUGACCCGUAAGCGCCGCGGCUACUAGGAUAGUGGACACAGCGCGCCUGGCUACUGCACUAGUAGAAUGCCGCGGGUGGUGACACCUCAGCGCCGCGGCUACUAGGAUAGUGGACACAGCGCGCCUGGCUACUGCACUAGUAGAAUGCUGCGGGUGGUGACACUUCAGCGCCGCGGCUACUAGGAUAGUGGACACAGCGCGCCUGGCUACUGCACUAGUAGAAUGCUGCGGGUGGUGACACCUCAGCGCCGCGGCUACUAGGAUAGUGGACACAGCGCGCCUGGCUACUGCACUAGUAGAAUGCCGCGGGUGGUGACACCUCAGCGCCGCGGCUACUAGGAUAGUGGACACAGCGCGCCUGGCUACUGCACUAGUAGAAUGCUGCGGGUGGUGACACCUCAGCGCCACGGCUACUAGGAUAGUGGACACAGCGCGCCUGGCUACUGCACUAGUAGAAUGCCGCGGGUGGUGACACUUCAGCGCCGCGGCUACUAGGAUAGUGGAUACAGCGCGCCUGGCUACUGCACUAGUAGAAUGCCGCGGGUGGUGACACGUCAGCGCCGCGGCUACUAGGAUAGUGGACACAGCGCGCCUGGCUACUUCACUAGUAGAAUGCUGCGGGUGGUGACCCGUAAGCGCCGCGGCUGCAAGGAUAGUGGACACAGCGCGCCUGGCUAUGCACUAGUAGAAUGCUGCAAGUGGUGACACGUCAGAGCGGCGGCUACUAGGAUAGUGGACACAGCGCGCCUUACUACUGCACUAGUAGAAUGCCGCGGGUGGUGACACCUCAGCUCCACGGCUACUAGGAUAGUGGACACAGCGCGCCUGGCUACUGCACUAGUAGAAUGCUGCAGGUGGUGACACCUCAGCGCCACGGCUGCUAGGAUAGUGGACACAGCGCGCCUGGCUACUGCACUAGUAGAAUGCUGCGGGUGGCGACACUUCAGCGCCGCGGCUGCUAGGAUAGUGGACACAGCGCGCCUGGCUACUGCACUAGUAGAAUGCCGCGGGUGGUGACACGUCAGCGCCGCGGCUACUAGCAUAGUGGACACAGCGCGCCUGGCUACUGCACUAGUAGAAUGCUGCGGGUGGUGACCCCUAAGCGCCGCGGCUGCUAGGAUAGUGGACACAUCGCGCCUGGCUACUGCACUAGUAGAAUGCUGCAAGUGGUGACACGUCAGAGCGGCGGCUACUAGGAUAGUGGACACAGCGCGCCUUACUACUGCACUAGUAGAAUGCCGCGGGUGGUGACACCUCAGCUCCACGGCUACUAGGAUAGUGGACACAGCGCGCCUGGCUACUGCACUAGUAGAAUGCCGCGGGUGGUGACUCUUCAGCGCCGCGGCUACUAGGAUAGCGGACACAGCGCGCCUGGCUUCUGCACUAGUAGAAUGCUGCGGGUGGUGACACCUCAGCGCCACGGCUACUAGGAUAGUGGACACAGCGCGCCUGGCUACUGCACUAGUAGAAUGCCGCGGGUGGUGACACGUCAGCGCCGCGGCUACUAGGAUAGUGGAUACAGCGCGCCUGGCUACUGCACUAGUAGAAUGCCGCGGGUGGUGACACGUCAGCGCCGCGGCUACUAGGAUAGUG